CCUACGGGAGGCAGCAGUGGGGAAUAUUGCACAAUGGGGGAAACCCUGAUGCAGCGACGCCGCGUGAGUGAAGAAGUAUUUCGGUACGUAAAGCUCUUUCAGCAGGGAAGAAACAAAGUCCUUUGGACUUUGGACGGUACCUGACCAAGAAGCCCCGGAUAACUACGUGACAGCAGCCGCGGUAAUACGAAGGGGGCAAGCGUUAUCCGGAUUUACUGGGUGUAAAGGGAGCGUAGACGGCAGCGCAAGUCUGGUGUGAAAUGACGGGGCCCAACCCCGGAACUGCUUUGGAAACUGUGCAGCUUGAGUGCGGGGGAGGUAAGCGGAAGUCCUAGUGUAGCGGUGAAAUGCGUAGAUAUUAGGAGGAACCCCAGUGGCGAAGGCGGCUUGCUGGAGCGUAACUGACGUUGAGGCUCGAAAGCGUGGGGAGCAAACAGGAUUAGAUACCCUAGUAGGC
rnacentral:rRNA from 1 species